rnacentral:misc_RNA from 1 species
AACACUGUUAACCUGCGGUACCUGCGGAAGGAUCAUUACCGAGUUUACAACUCCCAAACCCAUGUGAACAUACCUAUCGUUGCUUCGGUGGAUCGCCCCGGGCGCCUUGCGUGCCCCGGAUCCAGGCGGCCGCCGGGGGACCUUAACUCUUGUUUUUACUGAGAAUCUUCUGAGUCGUUUUUACAAAUAAAUAAAAACUUUCAACAACGGAUCU